rnacentral:lncRNA from 1 species
AAGCAUUCAAAAGCUACGCACAACAUAAGAUGGUUCCUCCCUUCUUCUCAUGGCGAUCGUGGAGAGCGUAGUGGAGGUCUCCCAGGAGGAACGGUAUAGGGUUACCAGAGAGGAAGAUUCUCACCGCCAGGUUGUCCACAAAAUGGUCAAUAUUUGGGAAGAGAACUAUCCCAUAUACCAACACGGCUAACACAGCAUAGAAGGCUUCAC